rfam:Lupinus angustifolius cultivar Tanjil chromosome LG17, whole genome shotgun sequence.
AUGGGAACUUAAUGGCAUAUAAAAGAAGCUUUGAAGGGACAGUGUUAAAGGGUCCUCACCCUUCACACCACUCCUUUCAUUUCCAACAGUUUGCUUAGGAUUAUUUAGCUAUUGGCUUCUUUAAUAAUAACCAUUGAUAUGGAAAAAUUUCUAUAUAGUAGCCGAAGGAAGAAGAGAAGCUAGCAAUGUUCAAAGGAAUUGAAGAAGCUUUUGGUUACAGAUUCGCAAACCGGCAAGUCAGAAAAAGGCAAUGGACUCCAUUAGGGUUCGU